GACGAACGCUGGCGGCGUGCUUAACACAUGCAAGUCGAACGGAAAGGCCCUGCUUGCAGGGUACUCGAGUGGCGAACGGGUGAGUAACACGUGGGUUAUCUGCCCUGCACUUCGGGAUAAGCCUGGGAAACUGGGUCUAAUACCGGAUAGGAGCCAUUUUUAGUGUGAUGGUUGGAAAGUUUUUUCGGUGUAGGAUGAGCUCGCGGCCUAUCAGCUUGUUGGUGGGGUAAUGGCCUACCAAGGCGGCGGCGGGUAGCCGGCCUGAGAGGGUGGACAGCCACAUUGGGACUGAGGUGCGGCCCAGACUCCGACGGGAGGCAGCAGUGGGGAAUAUUGCACAAUGGGCGCAAGCCUGAUGCAGCGACGCCGCGUGGGGGAUGACGGCCUUCUGGUUGUAAACUCCUUUCGCUAGGGACGAAGCUUUUUGUGACGGUACCUAGAUAAGAAGCACCGGCUAACUACGUG
rnacentral:rRNA from 1 species